UACGAAGGGUGCAAGCGUUACUCGGAAUUACUGGGCGUAAAGCGUGCGUAGGUGGUUUGUUAAGUCUGAUGUGAAAUCCCCGGGCUCAACCUGGGAAUGGCAUUGGAUACUGGCAGGCUAGAGUGCGGUAGAGGGUGGUGGAAUUCCCGGUGUGGCAGUGAAAUGCGUAGAGAUCGGGAGGAACAUCUGUGGCGAAGGCGGCCACCUGGACCAGCACUGACACUGAGGCACGAAAGCGUGGGGAGCAAACAGG
rnacentral:rRNA from 1 species